rnacentral:rRNA from 1 species
CCUACGGGGGGCAGCAGUGAGGAAUAUUGGUCAAUGGACGAGAGUCUGAACCAGCCAAGUAGCGUGAAGGAUGACUGCCCUAUGGGUUGUAAACUUCUUUUAUAUGGGAAUAAAAUGUUCCACGUGUGGGAUUUUGUAUGUACCAUAUGAAUAAGGAUCAGCUAACUCCGUGCCAGCAGCCGCGGUAAUACGGAGGAUCCGAGCGUUAUCCGGAUUUAUUGGGUUUAAAGGGAGCGUAGGUGGAUUGUUAAGUCAGUUGUGAAAGUUUGCGGCUCAACCGUAAAAUUGCAGUUGAAACUGGCAGUCUUGAGUACAGUAGAGGUGGGCGGAAUUCGUGGUGUAGCGGUGAAAUGCUUAGAUAUCACGAAGAACUCCGAUUGCGAAGGCAGCUCACUGGACUGCAACUGACACUGAGGCACGAAAGCGUGGGUAGCAAACAGGAUUAGAUACCCCAGUAGUC